AUCCGAGUCGAAGAAUUGCAGUUCGAAGCCUACACAAGGAUUUGUCAAAAAUCAUCUUUUGCUUCGGGGAAAGUCUCCGGUCCACUAUGGCAACACUUCCGGUGACUCACCGGGAUGGGUGACAACAAGUCAUCUCUGGCGCUGUGUUUCAUGGCCCAUGUCGUGGUUUGCCACCCCUCAGAAUGCACAGGACUUGUCAUUAGUCUUUCAUCCAGCCAGCCGCAAGGCUCAUCUGGACUGUGUGGAGAGAGGUUGGUAUAGGCUACGUCAUUGGGCCAUGAUAGCUCGCCGUCCUCUUCGCGAGGAGCUUCUAUUCGACGCUGGGAAUCUCUCCUAAACGAUAGUCAUGCAAUUGCUACCCCAGUAGUAACCCAAUGGAGCUUAUUCUCGACUUGUGA
rnacentral:RNase_MRP_RNA from 2 species